GCCAGGCGUCAUGACUCACACCUGUAUUCCCAUCUACUUGGGAGGCUGAGGCAAGAGGAUCCCUUGAGUCCAAUAGUUCUGGGCUAUGCCAAUCAGAUGUCUACACUAAGUUCAGCAUUUAUAUGAUGACCUCCCAGAAGCAGGAGGACUACCAGGUUGCCUAAGGAGGGAUGAACCCACCCAGGUUACAAAAAAAAAAGACCAAAAAAAAAGGAGCAGGUCACAACUCCUGUGCCGAUCAAUAGUGGGAUUGCACCUAUGAAAACCAGCCUAGGCAAUAUAGCAAGGCACCAUCUUCGU
ensembl:misc_RNA Metazoa_SRP Metazoan signal recognition particle RNA